rnacentral:tRNA from 1 species
UGGAUUGAAAUCAUUUGAUAUUUCUUUUACAAAGAAAAAGAGCUUUAUGCCAUUCUAA